rnacentral:rRNA from 1 species
AUUGAACGCUGGCGGCAGGCCUAACACAUGCAAGUCGAGCGGAUGAGGGGAGCUUGCUCCUGGAUUCAGCGGCGGACGGGUGAGUAAUGCCUAGGAAUCUGCCUGGUAGUGGGGGAUAACGUCCGGAAACGGGCGCUAAUACCGCAUACGUCCUGAGGGCGAAAGUGGGGGAGCUUCGGACCUCACGCUAUCAGAUGAGCCUAGGUGGGAUUAGCUGGUUGGUGGGGUAAAGGCCUACCCAGGCGGCGAGCCGUAACUGGUCUGAGAGGAUGAUCAGUCACAUGGGAAGUGGGACACGCACCAGACUCCUGAGAGAGGCAGCAGAGGGGAAUAGUGGACAACGGGGGAAAGCCUUAUCCAGCCGUGCCGCGUGUGUUAAGAAGGUGUUCGGAUUGUAAAGCCGGUCAAGUUGGGAGGAAGCGCAGUAAGUUGAUACCUUGCUGUUUUGACGUUACCAGCAGAAUAAGCACCGGCUAACUUCGUG